GGCCCCUUAUCGGGGUUGCGGACAGUGUCUGGUGGGUAGUUUGACUGGGGCGGUCUCCUCCUAAAGAGUAACGGAGGAGCACGAAGGUUGGCUAAUCCUGGUCGGACAUCAGGAGGUUAGUGCAAUGGCAUAAGCCAGCUUGACUGCGAGCGUGACGGCGCGAGCAGGUGCGAAAGCAGGUCAUAGUGAUCCGGUGGUUCUGAAUGGAAGGGCCAUCGCUCAACGGAUAAAAGGUACUCCGGGGAUAACAGGCUGAUACCGCCCAAGAGUUCAUAUCGACGGCGGUGUUUGGCACCUCGAUGUCGGCUCAUCACAUCCUGGGGCUGAAGUAGGUCCCAAGGGUAUGGCUGUUCGCCAUUUAAAGUGGUACGCGAGCUGGGUUUAGAACGUCGUGAGACAGUUCGGUCCCUAUCUGCCGUGGGCGCUGGAGAAUUGAGGGGGGCUGCUCCUAGUACGAGAGGACCGGAGUGGACGCAUCACUGGUGUUCGGGUUGUCAUGCCAAUGGCACUGCCCGGUAGCUAAAUGCGGAAGAGAUAAGUGCUGAAAGCAUCUAAGCACGAAACUUGCCCCGAGAUGAGUUCUCCCUGACCCUUUAAGGGUCCUGAAGGAACGUUGAAGACGACGACGUUGAUAGGCCGGGUGUGUAAGCGCAGCGAUGCGUUGAGCUAACCGGUACUAAUGAACCGUGAGGCUUAACCUUACAACGCCGAAGGUGUUU
rnacentral:rRNA from 1 species